rnacentral:rRNA from 1 species
GACGAACGCUGGCGGCGCGCUUAACACAUGCAAGUCGAACGGAAAGGCCUGCUUUCCCUUGUGUGUUGCGGGUACUCGCGUGUCGAACGGGUGAGUAACACGUGAGUUAUCUUCCCCCAACUUGUGUAUAAGCCUGGGAAACUAGGUCUAAUUACCUAUAGGACUGCAGGGUGGUGCCGGUGGUUUAGAACGAUUGUCUAGUGGUUGGGGAUUAGCUCGCGGCCUGUCAGCUUGUUGGUGGGGUCAUGGCCUACCAAGGCGGGGACGGGUAGGCUGCCUGGGAGGGCGGACGGGCACAUUGGGACGGAGAUACGGCCCAGACUACUCCGGCAGGAAGCAGUCGGGAAGCAUGAAUAAGGAGCGGAAGACUGAUGCCGGGACGCUGAGUGGGCGAUGCCGGCCUUCGGGUUGUAAACUCCUUUCGACAGAGAGGAAGCCACCUGGUUGGAAGGGUGGUGACGGUAGUGGGAGAAGAAGCACCGGCUAACUACGUG